rnacentral:rRNA from 1 species
CCUACGAGAGGCAGCAGUGAGGAAUAUUGGUCAAUGGACGCAAGUCUGAACCAGCCAUACCGCGUGCAGGAAGACGGCUCUAUGAGUUGUAAACUGCUUUUGUACGAGGGUAAACGCAGAUACGCGUAUCUGUCUGAAAGUAUCGUACGAAUAAGGAUCGGCUAACUCCGUGCCAGCAGCCGCGGUAAUACGGAGGAUUCAAGCGUUAUCCGGAUUUAUUGGGUUUAAAGGGUGCGUAGGCGGUCGGAUAAGUUAGAGGUGAAAUCCCGAGGCUCAACUUCGGAAUGGCCUCUGAUACUGUUCGGCUAGAGAGUAGUUGCGGUAGGCGGAAUGUAUGGUGUAGCGGUGAAAUGCUUAGAGAGCAUACAGAACACCGAUUGCGAAGGCAGCUUACCAAGCUACUUCUGACGUUGAGGCACGAAAGCGUGGGGAGCAAACAGGAUUAGAUACCCGUGUAGUC